rnacentral:lncRNA from 1 species
AUAAUCACAGAAGCACAGAGGGAGAUCUGUUUCUCAACUAAUAAUGCCAGUACUUCAUUGCCCUUGGAGAAUAUUCCCCUACAGAUUUGGGGGGUUAUUUCUGUUUUGUUGUGGUUUUUUGUUUGAGCCAGUUUUAGUAAACAAGUUGAAGUUGCUCAAGGCUAGAGAUACAAAGAAGUUCAGGGUGGUGACCUGAGGACUUUUGCUGAGACAUGUUUGCAAACCAACUCUACUGCCAACAUAGAAGCCAUAGGUACAAAAUAAGCGGAGAGCUCCAGCAUCUGCUGCUGUAUCCCAGUGCUUGCACUGGGAAGUACUCAGCUAUGUCACGUGGCUCAGGCUCAGAGAAGUUUUCUGCUGGGCUGUGCAGGUUGUGGCAGAAGAAUGGGGUUUUCAUUCGUGGUUUUGCAAGGAAAUUCAUGGUGAAAAUAAUACAAAUAAUACAAAACUAUUCAGUCACAAAAGAUUUGCAGAUCUCUGAAAAAUGACAUGCCAAGUUAAAACUUAGAUUUUUAGGAACUGUAUAAGCAUUAAUACAUGCAGAAAGUUUUAUUUUCUUGCCUGGCUGGAGAACCAUCAUUUUUCACAAUGUAAAGAAGAAUCCACAUGUAGCCUGAGUAACACACAAUCAUGUUGCAAUGGAACUUUCAAAUAGGACUUUUAGGCUUGAUGGGCUCUUCAUUGUGUCAGCAUUGUACAGCUGUAGUGCAAACAAAUUGUAAGUACCUAGAAAAGUAGACUGAAAAAUGUGCCAAACUUUUAAUGCUGGGAAUUGGUAUGUCUCUGAGUAAGUCUUGUAUGGAAAACAUUUUUACUUCCCUCAGGAAAACAGGUGAUUAAACAUAAUAUUCUCAUUUUCCUGUUCUUGCAGUAUUUUUUCAGCAAGGUAAUAAUCAUUUUAUUUUUUUAAUCCACCCAUGUCCACAUUAUGUGGUUCUGAAAGCAGUCUUUAUUUCUGGCCGUUUCACACAAACCAGUUGAAUUUUGGGAUGAAACUUUACCAUGCUACUGCUACUCACUGUAGGAGAAGGGAGGAUGUACAUGGUUAAAUUCCUAGCAGCAUGUAGACAAUGCUGUGAUCAAAACUCUUUCUUGGUAUCUUCAGGAGCCAUCCCAGCAUUGCUGGUAUCGGUAUAAAUAAUGAAUGGUUAAAAAAUGAGCCAAGUGACUUAAACUCCUAUUUCUGUAAAUACAGCAUCUUCCUGCCCAGCUUUCCUGCGAGGAUUUGUUCUGAUAUUGUUUGCCUGUAAAGUAUAUUAGUCACUACUUUCACGAUAGUAAAUUGGUGAAUCUCAUGAAGCCACUGGCCCACUAUCACAGCUAAGGAAAUAUAUGACUGGUUAAUAUGUGAAUAAUAUACAAUAAAACUUAAAGCUAUCAUAGACA